AAGACCCCAUCCAGGCUUACAAGGAGCACGCGCCGAGGUCGUCGCGAGAUUGAGCGGGGGAGAAUGUUAUGGACGGCACUAUUUUUGCCCCAAAACAGGCUCAAAACAGCUCCAAAAUGCUUACGGAACAGUCCAGCGUACCCCGGAAGGCCCUGGAUGACUCUAGAAUUGUGCAGAUUGUUAAAGACAAGUCUAGAAUCAUGUGGAGGCUUCU
rnacentral:lncRNA from 1 species